rnacentral:lncRNA from 1 species
ACAGCAGGCUGAGGCUAUGCUAAUUGUCCUUCAGGGAUUGGCGGAGCAUGAGUUAUCUUAUUAGCAUGGUGCUGCUCCCUCAUUAGCAUAUUACCUGCCAACUGAUGCCAGGUGCAAAGCCUGCGCAUGCGCAGUACCGUUGUUCACCACAGGAGGGCGCUCUACAACUCAGAAGGCAAGAGAACAGCUUAUUGAGUGUUUAAAGUUCAGACAGAUUUUUCCAGCAGGACAGUAAUACUUACAUCCUGGAGUCUCACAGAGGGAUGCAUUCAUAGAUAUCAUCGCUUUUGUUGAUAUCGUGUCCACGUACUCCUAGGUUCUGUCAGUUCAUCUACAACAAUGGGUUCUUUCACACCUGGAAAACUCCUUUGUCCUGGAUGAGCAUCCCCUCUGUCUCAGUGCUGGGAUUCCAGGCAUUGGCCACUAAAUCCAAUGUAGGCAACACUAGGAAGUCAAACACAGGGCCCCUGGCAUGAUAGGGAAGCAUUUGACACAACUGAGCUACAUCAACAGCCGUGUUUCAUAAAUAAUGCAGGACUGGAGUGGAGCAGAGACUGAAGGAGGGGCUGUCCAGGGACUGACUGACCUGAGGAUCCAUCCCAUGUGCAGCGACGAAACCCAGACACUGGCUGAUGCCAAGGAGUGCUUACUGACAGGGACCUGAUAUAGAUACCACCUGAGAGGCUCUGUCAGAGCCUUAGGGAUACAGAUUUGGGUGCUUGCAGCCAAAUAUCUGACUGAGCCCUGGAACCCCAAUGGAGGAGUUGGGAGAAGGACUAAAGGAACUCAGGGGCUUUACAACACCAUGGGAGGAACAACAAUAUCAAGCAAACAGAAUCACCACUCCCAGAGUUCCCAGGGACUGAACCACCAACCAGAGUAGAGGACCCAUGGCUCCAACUGUACAUAUGCAGAGGAUGGCUUUGUCUGGCAUCAGAG